CCUGGGUGUUAGGAGCAUAUAAUGGUUUUAACCUAAUAUGAGGGGUCCUAGGAAACUUCUGAGAAGUGGUGACAAUUGAGCUGACUUACUUGAAAGUUGAGAGGAUGACAAUGGAGUUUGGGAUGGACAGGUGCCUUAGGCACAGUGAAUAGCCUACAUGAGGUUCCAAUGGUGGGAGAGAACACGGCACAUGCAAGAAACUAGUUGCUUUCUGUUCUUUCUGAAGUCACUGGAGGGAGCAGAAAGUGUUAUUCAGGGAAUGUUUCAGAACCAACGAUGCGAAGAAGCAAGAUCAGAGAAGUCUCAGCUUCUUCACUGCCAUAUAUGUAGCGAGGAGGUAGGACCUGCCAACUGGCCUCUCUCUCGUUUCUCCACGUUUUGGCCCUAACUAGCUAACUUUGGCUUCUGGGUUUGAGCAGGUGGAGGCCAGGCAGGCAGGAGAAAGGAAAGGAGUAUGGAAGUUCUUGCUUGACUGGCACUGUCUUAAGAUGGUUCUAAGCUCUCUGCACUGACUUGUCCUCUCAUGGGCACUUAUUGACUUUGAAGAUGCCCUCACCAACAAGGCAGAGUCUAUUUCCUCAGCCCUGAAGCUGGGCUGGCCGCAUGAUCUGCUUCAGCCUGCAGUGACAGCAUGUCAGUACUGAGCCUCGACAUCAAAAGGCCUUGUGUGUUUCCUCUCUUUCUCUCCCUCUCUCUCCCCUUCUGCCAUCACUGUGAGGACAUGCCCAGGCUAGCCUGCUGGAGGGUGAGAGAC
rnacentral:lncRNA from 1 species